rnacentral:lncRNA from 1 species
CCACCACGAUGACGGCGAUGAGGCCGGCGGUGAGGCGCUUCAUGGAGAACUUCGGGGGAAUCUCGUCCAGGGCUCCUCAGGCUCAAGCACAACCUGGAAAAACGAAGGUGUUAAUGUUCCAUGAGGCAACUGAUGACCAAUGGGGAGCAGGAGCUGGUGAAUGAAUGUUCCCUUCAUCCAUCCUGCAGCUUCUACAUUGUUCUUCAUCUCUGGGAAAUCAGUGACCCAUGGACUGGACAAUAACUUUGAGCCAUGCAGUCAAAAUAAAAUGGAAUAUUUAAGUGAAAGAUCAGGUUCUGGAAAAUAAAACUGCUCGUAGCUGCAUAUUAUCUACCGGUGAGUAAAACAAGUUUACUGCCACCAUCUUAGUGUGACUAAAAGAGGGAGAUCCUAAAGAAUUUCAAGGAAAUAAAGAAAAGUAAAUGGAAAUGGAUUGUGUAAUAUUCGUUAUUAUUGAUUAAAUUUAUAAAAUAGAACUUAGGUGGAUUCUCAGAAAGAAAAAGGUGAUGUUCACUGGCAUGAACAGUGAAUGGUGGAGUGGAACGUGAACAGGCUGGAGCUCUGGCUGUGCCAUUUAUUAGCCAUGUGCCUUUAGAAGGUCCUCAUCUUCUCCAGCCUCAGUUUCACCAUCUGUAAUGGUAGGUAAGAACCUCUACUUCAGAAGGCUGUUGGAAAGACGAAAUGGUAUGAGACAAAAUGAAAUAAUGACAUCCUAAGUGGAAAGGGCUCGCCUGGGGUCUGGUUAACAAGUAUCACUGCCUCAGGUAACAGUCUUUCUCAGCAGUGCUGCAUACAAACCUCCUCUGGCUUUGACCUUAACAGCCAUUGUAGGUCAGUGUUCAUAGCAGCCCCCACUCAAGUGAGGGUCCAGCUCUGCAAUGAGUUGUGCCUAAGAAGGUCACAGGGGACCAGCCCCUGCUGUGUAGCGCAGGGAGGAGGGCUCUGUCAUUUCUGGCCAUCAUGGCCCUUUGCAGUCAGCCUCAGCCUGAGAUAAAUAUCACACUCUUGCAUCUCACUUUAUAUCUGAGAUCAUCUGGCCCUGCCCACAUCCUCCUCUGCUAAAUGAGUAGAACAGACGGACUCUAAAGCUGCAGAAUGAUUUUAAAAAUAAAUAAAACCAAAUAACAACUUGAGUCUAAUGAUUUCCCUUCAGGUUGUGCAAGCAGGAAAGUUUAAAAUCACAUAAGAAUGACUUGAGGGAAAAGAACACCCCUUUCUGCUCCCGGUAAACACAAUCAGCUUUGCUGGUCUGGGUUUUUUAAUGAUCUGCAUUUACAGGAGUAUCCAUGACCCAGAGAGAGUAUCAGUGUCAAGAAUCUGCCAGUGAGAAAGUGAUUUGAAGCAGCUCUGGAGUUCAGAUGGCCACGGGUGCAAGUGCCUGCUCUGGUGUGCUUUGCCUCUGGAAAGAUGCCAAGUCUUUGAGAAUCUUUGCUGCAUCAGCCAUGCUACAUCCUGAGGACUUGGAGGUGAGGAAAUCCUGUGUGCACUUGUUUCCUUCCCUUCAAAUGAUAUAUCCCAGAAAAAUGGCAAGCUCUCUGCUUACUAACUCUUUUCUUUUUCUUUAGUUCCCCCUUAGCUUUCUCUCUCCUUUCUUCCGUCUUUCUCUUGCCUCCUUUCAUUUUUGGUAAAAUCCAAAGCGAAAUGUCAACUCAGAGGACAUAGCUGUUUGUCUUCACCACCUACAAACUGUAUUUCCUGGAUCAAGCCGCUUAACUCCAUUGAACUGUUUUUAGCAUCCUGAAAAUGGGGAAUCACACUUUCCACUUAUCCAAGCAUUUGCUCAUUCGUUUAUUAAUAAUGUAACACCCUUGAAUGCCAGGCCCUGAACUGAAGAUAUGGUCCUGACCCACUGGGUAGUCACAGGAGAGUGGAGAAUAAUGCUUCAUUUGCUAUGUUGCUUCAAGAAUUACAUAAAAUAAGGCAGUUAAAAAUAUUUUGUGAACCAAAUAGUGCAUUAUGAAAAGAUAUUAACACUUCUUACUUUCUUAUAGCAAUUUCUAAAUGAUUUAAUUUCUGCCAUCAAAAUAUCCCCCUUGUGUUGAUCUAAACCAUCAGAUUGCAAGGUAAAGCCCUGAUGUAACUGAUGAGAUGAAGAACACUGUAUGGCCAUUAUUUUAGGUACGAUAAACAUUUGACUUCUCUUACAGAGACCUAAGGAAAAUGACUUAAAUAGGGUAGAAAUGUCUUUCUCAUGUAACAAGCCAUGCAUUAGCAGACCAGGGCUAGUGUGACAGUUCCUCCAUGGGUCACUGUGUGGUUCAUUAAGGUGUUGUCCUCCUUGGCAUGACCCACGAUGGCUGCCAGUGUAACAGCUGAAUGUCAACCAGCAAGACAGAGGUGAGGGGUGGGGAGGAGGGCAUGCCUCUUCCCUCUGAGAAAUUGCCCACCUACUUCUGUUUAUGUCCCAUGAGCCAAAAUUUAGAAUUAGGUGUCUCCACCUAGCUUCAGGGAGGCUUGGGAACUGAAGUCUUUAUCCUGGGCAUUCUAGCAUACCCUACAUCCAAUCUGUCAAAGUUGCAUUUAGAAUCCAGCCCCUUCUCACCACCUUUACUUCUUUCAUGGCGGUCCAAGCCACUUUCACUGGAUGACGGCAGUAGCCACCUAACUGGCUUCUCUGCUUCUUCUCUUGCCCUCCACUGAAAUCUUUGCUCAGCGCACGUUGAAUAAUGACUCUUUUAGGAUGUAAGCCAGAUUUUUCAACUCCUCUGCUCAAACCCCUGCAAUGGCUUGCUAGGCCCUGUGGGAUUAGGCCUUUGCUACCUGUCCCUUCCUUCCAUCCUCCCUCCUCCCUUGCUUACUCCACUCCAGCCACAUCUGCUCCCUUCCUGGCCUCAGGAAGGCAGACAUGCUGUUGGGUAGGGAUUUUCAUCGGUCGUUCCUUCAGCCUAAAAAUUGUCCAUUUCAGAUAUUCACAGGGCUCAUUCCCUCGCCUCCUUCAAAUCUUUCCUCAAAUGUCACCUUCUUAUAGAGGUCUAUCAUGACUUCUCUACUUAAAAUGGCAAGACCUGCUUCCCAACUUUUGGCACUCCUAAUCUGCCUUAUCUUAUUCUUUUUUUUUUUUUUUUUUUUUUCACAGCAGGGACAUUUUCUAAUAUAGGUUUAUACUUUACUUAUUUACUAUCUUUAGUGUGUGUGUGUGUGUGUGCCUCUUCCCUUGCUAGAAUGACAGCUCCCUGAAGGCAAGGAUUUUUUUUUCUUCCCUGAUGUAUCCCCAGUACCUAAAAGAGUGCCUGGUGUAUAAUAGAUAAUAAAUAUUUCUUGAAUAUAAGCUUGCAUGAAGAGAUGGAGCCGAAUCCAGUUCUGAUGACAUCAUUUGAGCUCUGGUUCCAUGUGCCUAAAGCAAGAAUUCUACACUUUUCAGUUCCAUGGGUCAAUAAAUUUUCUUGUGUUUAUUUAUUUAAUUGGAAGACUAUUAUUUAACUAAAUCAAUUAGA